rnacentral:rRNA from 1 species
GGGAGCGUUCUGUAAGCCUGCGAAGGUGUGCUGUGAGGCAUGCUGGAGGUAUCAGAAGUGCGAAUGCUGACAUAAGUAACGAUAAAGCGGGUGAAAAGCCCGCUCGCCGGAAGACCAAGGGUUCCUGUCCAACGUUAAUCGGGGCAGGGGGAGUCGACCCCUAAGGCGAGGCCGAAAGGCGUAGUCGAUGGGAAACAGGUUAAUAUUCCUGUACUUGGUGUUACUGCGAAGGGGGGACGGAGAAGGCUAUGUUAGCCGGGCGACGGUUGUCCCGGUUUAAGCAUGUAGGCUGGUUAUCCAGGCAAAUCCGGAUAAUCAAGGCUGAGGUGUGAUGACGAGGCACUACGGUGCUGAAGUAACAAAUGCCCUGCUUCCAGGAAAAGCCUCUAAGCAUCAGGUAACAUCAAAUCGUACCCCAAACCGACACAGGUGGUCAGGUAGAGAAUACCAAGGCGCUUGAGAGAACUCGGGUGAAGGAACUAGGCAAAAUGGUGCCGUAACUUCGGGAGAAGGCACGCUGGUGUGUAGGUGAAGUCCCUGCG